AUUGCUUUAAUUACAUUUGGCCCUCAUUCGGCCUCACUGUUGGUACAUUUUAGGUAUGCAUUUGGCCCACGUUCGGCCACAUGGCAUAUUUACUUUGAACAUUUCACAUAACUAUCAUAAACAUGAUCAAACCUUCAUACAUACAGUUGUAAUCUCUAAGGCAGGGUUUCCCAAACUUUAUGGGACGAGACCCACCUUUCAAAAUGGUAAUUUUUUUAGACCAACUUGCUUUUAAUGCAUAUUUUAAAAAGUGAAUACCAUGGCAAUCAGCUUUAGAGGUAUAAAAUUGGCACAUCAUGGCAAACAGCUUUAGAGGCAUACAAUUGGCACACCAUGGCAAUCCGCUUUAGAUGCAUACAACUGGCACACCAUUAAACUGGUUCAUGGAUUGCGGGAUAAAACUUACCAGGAAAGGUUAAAGGAUCUUAACAUUUAUAGCUUGGAGGAAAGACGAGACAGGGGGGAUAUGAUAGAAACAUUUAAAUAUAUAAAGGGAAUCAACACAGUAAAGGAGGAGACUAUAUUUAAAAGAAGAAAAACAACCACAACAAAGGUUUAAAAAUAAUAUCAGGAAGUAUUACUUUACUGAGAGGGUAGUGGAUGCACGGAAUAGCCUUCCAGAUGAAGUGGUAGAGGUUAACACAGUAAAGGAGUUUAAGCAUGCGUGGGAUAGGCAUAAGGCUAUCCGAACUAUAAGAUAAGGCUAGGGACUAAUGAAAGUAUUUAGAAAAUUGGGCAGACUAGAUGGGCCGAAUGGUUCUUAUCUGCUGUCACAUUCUAUGUUUCUAUGGCAAUCCGCUUUAGAUGCAUAGAAUUGGCACACCACGGCAAUCAGUUUUAGAGGCAUACAAUUGGC